rnacentral:lncRNA from 1 species
UGGUAGGGUUAUGCCCCUUUGAAAAUUAACAAAUGUCGGUUGGCCACUAAAACUCAAAAACUGUAAGUUGUAGCCACCUAGGAUCAUCACCAAUGAUCAUCAAUUCACAUGAACAUGAAAAUUGACCUAAGUAAGGUCAAAGGUCAAGGUCAUGACCUAGAUUUUGACCUUAGCUUGUUAUCGGAUUUACUAAAUAACCGUAAAAGAUGGCUGAUAAAAUGUAACGGAGAAAAUAUGUGUCUUGUCGAGAUCUACAUUUGUUAUGUUGGGUUGAAAAUCAUUGGACCAACUGUUAUGGAACUAGGGCACCAAAACUGUUUUUGGGGUCCGAAAUGAUGAUUGUUUGCUUAUAACUCAAAAGUGGUUAGAGAUAGAAAAAAACUUUGAAUUGCAAAAAUGAUCAGCAUAAUAAGAUCUACAAAGUUAGGUCAAGGUCAGAGGUCAAGUCCCUAGCAACGACAUAAAACACCAUAGCAACCAUAUAUUU